GACGAACGCUGGCGGCGCGCUUAACACAUGCCAGUCGAGCGGUAAGGCUCCUUCGGGAGUACACGAGCGGCGCACGGGUGAGUAACACGUGAGUAAUCUGCCCUUCACUUCGGGAUAACCACCGGAAACGGUGGCUAAUACCGAAUACGACCAGUCUUCGCAUGAGGUGCUGGUGGAAAGUCUUUUCGGUGAAGGAUGUGCUCGCGGCCUAUCAGCUUGUUGGUGGGGUAAUGGCCUACCAAGGCUUCGACGGGUAGCCGGCCUGAGAGGGUGACCGGCCACACUGGGACUGAGACACGGACCAGAGUCCUACGGGAGGCAGCAGUGGGGAAGAUUGGACAAUGGGCGAAAGCCUGAUCCAGCAACGCCGCGUGAGGGAUGACGGCCUUCGGGUUGUAAACCUCGUUCAGUACCGACGAAGCGCCCUGUCGGGUGGUGACGGUAGGUACAGAAGAAGGACCGGCCAACUACGUG
rnacentral:rRNA from 1 species